CCAGCUUGCUGGAUGCUGACGAGCGGCGGACGGGUGAGUAAUGCAUAGGAAUCUGCCCGAUAGUGGGGGAUAACCUGGGGAAACCCAGGCUAAUACCGCAUACGUCCUACGGGAGAAAGGGGGCUCCGGCUCCCGCUAUGGGAUGAGCCUAUGUCGGAUUAGCUAGUUGGUGAGGUAACGGCUCACCAAGGCCACGAUCCGUAGCUGGUCUGAGAGGAUGAUCAUCCACAUCGGGACUGAGACACGGCCCGAACUCCUACGGGAGGCAGCGGUGGGGAAUAUUGGACAAUGGGGGAAAGCCUGAUCCAGCCCUGCCGCGUGUGUGAAGAAGGCCCUCGGGUUGUAAAGCACUUUCAGCGAGGAAGAACGCCUAGCGGUUAAUACCCGCUAGGAAAGACAUCACUCGCAGAAGAAGCACCGGCUAACUCCGUGCCAGCAGCCGCGGUAAUACGGAGGGUGCAAGCGUUAAUCGGAAUUACUGGGCGUAAAGCGCGCGUAGGUGGCUUGAUAAGCCGGUUGUGAAAGCCCCGGGCUCAACCUGGGAACGGCAUCCGGAACUGUCAAGCUAGAGUGCAGGAGAGGAAGGUAGAAUUCCCGGUGUAGCGGUGACAUGCGUAGAGAUCGGGAGGAAUACCAGUGGCGAAGGCGGCCUUCUGGACUGAGACUGACACUGAGGUGCGAAAGCGUGGGUAGCAAACAGGAUUAGAUACCCUGGUAGUCCACGCCGUAAACGAUGUCGACCAUCCGCUUGGGUGCCUAGCGCACUUUG
rnacentral:rRNA from 1 species